rnacentral:rRNA from 1 species
UACGUAGGUGGCGAGCGUUGUCCGGAUUUACUGGGCGUAAAGAGCGCGCAGGCGGCUGGUCAAGUCCGAUGUGAAAGCUCCCGGCUUAACUGGGAAAUUGCAUCGGAAACUGAUCGGCUGGAAGGUGGGAGAGGGUAGCGGAAUUCCCGGUGUAGUGGUGAAAUGCGUAGAUAUCGGGAGGAACACCAGUGGCGAAAGCGGCUACCUGGCCCAUUCUUGACGCUGAGGCGCGAAAGCUAGGGGAGCGAACGGG